GACGAACGCUGGCGGCGUGCCUAAUACAUGCAAGUAGAACGCUGAAGGAGGAGCUUGCUCUUCUGGACGAGUUGCGAACGGGUGAGUAACGCGUAGGUAACCUGCCUGGUAGCGGGGGAUAACUAUUGGAAACGAUAGCUAAUACCGCAUAACAGUAGAUGUUGCAUGACAUUUGCUUAAAAGGUGCAAUUGCACCACUACCAGAUGGACCUGCGUUGUAUUAGCUAGUUGGUGGGGUAACGGCUCACCAAGGCGACGAUACAUAGCCGACCUGAGAGGGGGAUCGGCCACACUGGGACUGAGACACGGCCCAGACUCCUACGGGAGGCAGCAGUAGGGAAUCUUCGGCAAUGGACGGAAGUCUGACCGAGCAACGCCGCGUGAGUGAAGAAGGUUUUCGGAUCGUAAAGCUCUGUUGUAAGAGAAGAACGAGUGUGAGAGUGGAAAGUUCACACUGUGACGGUAUCUUACCAGAAAGGGACGGCUAACUACGUG
rnacentral:rRNA from 1 species